rnacentral:lncRNA from 1 species
UCCCCUUGGGUCUAGGUCACGCGAUUCCUCUUCUCCUCUCUCCCCCAUCCGCUCCGCCGCCAUUUUAGGGAUCCCUCGAUGCGUGGCCUACGGUGCGGUGAUGCCGCCGCAUGAGGACGCCCUCGAUGCCGGCGCCGUUGACGUGCUCACCUUUAGGCUCCACCCCCUCGCUGUCUUGAAAUUAUCCCACCGCAUCCGCAAGUUCGUCCAUCUCCACGAUGACCAAUACCAGCAAGCGAGGAUGUCUGGGUGCGUUAUCGGGGUUCGGCGUGGUGGGACGGUGGAUAUCUCCGAUACCUUCGACAUCUUGCACGACCCCGACCCCGGAACCUUCGACCGCGCCUUACUGGAGAAGGAUCAGGAGAUCUACAAGAAGGCCUUCCCUGACUUGUCCGUUCUCGGGUGGUACUCCAUUGGGACCAAUGUGCACACCACCGACACGGGAAUCCACCAUGGGGACUACACCGACAUGCAAAUCCACCAGACCUUGAUGGAUGCUAAUGGAACAGCCUUUUAUCUUCUAUUAAAUCCUGCAAUCAACUUUUCCCAUAAGGAUAUUCCUUUGACUAUUUAUGAAAGAGUGUUGUGCAAUUCCGAUGGGAGUCCCCCGGUCAGCUUUGUCCAAGGAAACUAUACAGUUGAGAUUGUAGGAGCAGAGAGGAUAUCUUUAGACCAUGCUGAUUUUCUCUAUCCAAGUCCAUGCGUAGUCUUCGAUGUUCUUGCACCACCUCUUGGAGAAAAAAAAAAUGCAUUUAGGACGAUGCUAUUUGAAACCCCUUCGGGAUUUGCAAUGUUCCGUGUUUCGGAUGUUUUAUUUAGAUAUCCGGAGGACAUAUGGUCGAGUUUUACUGAUCCACAUACUGUACACCAGGUCGUUCGUACCAUUGGUUUUAUUGAGGUUGGUGACAAAUCUGUUGUAUGGGAUAAUGAUAUUGGUCCUGGCGAGGAUAUAGAGCACUUUAUCCUAAAAUUUCCAAUUAAAUCAUUGGUUGUUCCAGAUGCACAGCUUAAAUUUAUUAUUGAGAAAAACCUUAACAUUAGCUGUUGGUUUAAUGGGCGUAUUGUUCCUGAGUUGAUUUGGGGACUAAAUUAUGCCCUGGACGAAUUUGUGCCUCGAGAGAAGGGCAACCUAUCAGAUGAACGCCAUUUUCCACUGAGCAAGCAACUGCAUGAGCAGUUAAAAGCAUAUGGAUUUAGUAUCUCACCACAAUUGAUUAACAGAGAGUUUAUAACCAGUUUUGGUUACUUAAAUUAUCUGGAACGUACUUCAAAUUGCAUUUCCGGAGAUUUACACCAGAAAUUUGAUCGUUUCUUUUGUGGACUUGAGAUGUCUGAGGGAGAGUUUGUAAGAGGAGUUGCACACCGUCUCCAUUCCAUGGAGGUCAAGGAUAGGGGUACAGGGCUUGGGCAUCCUUGGGUUUGCGCUGCUGCUGUUGCGGUGGGCUUCGGGGUUAUGGCAGGAUUGUGCAUUGCGAUGAAGCGAGCAAAUUAG